AUGGGGCGCCAGAUAUCGGGUUUCUCUUAAUCGAGAAUUUAAAGGGAAAUCGGUGAGAAGCUGGCUCUGGCCCCUUCAAAUCCGGUACUGCCCCCGCAACUGUAAGCGGCUAGCCGAUAUGCCAUAUGCCACUGGAUCUGCGGAUCUGGGAAGGCGGCAUAUCGACAGCGAUCCGCAAGUCAGGAGACCUGCCCUAUAUCGUCGUUCUUCA
rnacentral:ncRNA from 1 species